AGAAUCAGGUCAAGAAUUCAUUGGUUUUAUUCAAUUAGAGUUUAUUCUAAAAUAAGCCAUAUUACUCAUGCUUUCUUAUUUAUUUCUGAUAAAUUUGGCCUGAAUAGUGAUUUUUAUAUAUAAAAGGAAAUAUUUACACAAAAACUUGCACAGCAAGAACACAGUAAGAUAUAUUGAUGCAUUUAUUUUCUUUGAUGACCAGUAAUUUUCCUAAGGAAGAUUUUAACUUAAUAGCCAAUAAAUUGUUUAAAAAGUUUUUAAAAAUACCCUCUCCGAUGUGUUCCACUUAUAUAGUCUUUAAAAGAAGAAGCUUAAAGACUUCCUUUUACCUAAUAGGGUAUUAAUCUAUAGCAGGGGUAAAAUGAACAAAAGCUGCAAAGGUAGAUUCCUUAAAAACAGAGCUAUUAACGUACAAAUAUGUCAACCAAAUAUUCCAGUUAUUCCAACUGGUAUAUUCUUGUUCAAAGUAUAUAAUCUCAUGAGACCCUACAUUAUAAAUUUUUGGAUAUUAAAGCUUCUUAAAUGAAGCCACUAAGGAAGUGAGACUUUUCUUCGUGGGCAGCAUAUUAAAUUAGGAUUUCCAGGUCAUGGUAAACCAGAUAUCUAAAAUAAUGUCCCAAUUUUAUUAUUUAUCAUAGGCAUUUACUACUAUGCAAUUGAUAGUCAUCAGUCCAUUUCAGUCAAAUCAGGUUUUUGUUUUGUUAUGUAGCCUAUAUUAGGCUAUGGAUUUUACAUUUAAAUAACAUAAGAUAAACAACUUGAUCAGAUUUUUAUGUCUUUUAAGGUCAACUAAAGAAAAAAACCAUUUUCCAUGCUUCCUGAUACUAAAAUAUAAUACUUGAGUUCUAUUUCAGUUCAGUCAUGUAAUAAAAAAGCCUGUUUGGAGACUAGUUCAUAUGGGCAAUGAAGUUAUUUUGAAAUAUUUCUGCUUUGUAUCUUUUCCAGAAGUUUAAAAUCACAGCUUAACAUUUUAUCACAUUUUUAACUUUUUAUUUUUUAUAAGUUGUAACUAUUGACAUAAAUCCAUGUCUGCAAAUUGUUUUCACUCAUUCUGUAGUUCAUACCAAAAUAUUUUAAACAUAUUCCACUUGUUAUUUUUUUGUCUUUAAUUUGAGGUUUUAUUUCUACUUUUGUUUUACUAAGGGAAAACUUUCUGAAAGACUGAGAUCAAAUUGGUUUAUACAUCAAGGGAUUGUUUUAUAAAAUUCUAUUGGACCACAAUGUUCUAUUUCUAACCUCUUAUCAAAUAAUUGCUAUUGAAAGAAUAUGUGCAUUUUCUUAUGUAUGCCUUAUAAAACUUACAUCAUUUUGCUUUUACGAGGUGCAUAAACUUCUAACACUUUUAAUGUGGGAUUCAGAAGACAAGGAAGCUUUCUUCUUUUUCCUCAAAAUCUUCUCUUUUUCUUCUCUACUCCUUCUAUUUUAAGGGUGUGUUUAUCUUACAUGGACCAGGUUUCAAUCCUUCAUUGUCAAAUAAAAAUUUCCAUUGAAAUAUUAAAUACUAGCUUUCUGCCAUGUUUCAGUAAGGUCAAAAGAAUAGCAAAUCUGAAAUUUUGCUGCUCAGAUAUUAUGGAGAAGAUAGAAAAGGAGACCCUUCGUGGACAAGGACACUGGUACUUUGGGCUUUAGCCAUAUUUUUUUUCUUUUAAACCACCAAUUAUAUAAUGAAAAGAUAACUUAUAACAUCAAACUUGUGAUUCUCUUCAAAUCACACUUGAAAGUACAGCCGUACUCCUUUCAUAUUUGGUUCAAACUGUAGUAUGGGUGGAAAAACCUAAAAAGAAUGGUAGUGUUUAUUUUUUAAUUUAUUUGGUACUGUAAAACACCUUUUCAGAAUGACUAAAUGCUGCAUAUGCAUUUUGGAAUUGUUAAUAUGUGAAAGGUAUUACAGAUUCAGCAAGAAAGGAAAUUUGUGCUUCCUUGUUGAACAUUAAAUUAUUUUACUUUGCAUUUUAUAAGAGUACAAAUUAAAACUGAGCCAUUGAACUGCAAUAAAUCAACAAUAGUGUCUCAUUUCAAGAAAUUUUUUGUACUGUACAUAGAUUUGUUCAAUAAAACAUUGUCCUUGUUGGU
rnacentral:lncRNA from 1 species